CCUGCAUGCACUGUGCCUGCAAACGCCACCACCAUCAGCAAUUCCAGCAGUAUGUAGGGCAUUGUAAUUGCGUAUUUUGCGCCUCUCUGCCGUCGGCUUAAGAGAAGAAAGUGGCAACAGAAGCGCACUCGUAGACAGUAUUUUGCGGGUUGUAUUGUAUUUGUAUGUGGUGUGUAGUUGUGUGCAGGUGCCAUCUCGAGACUGCAGUCCAUGUCUUCCAUGCAUUCCAGUAAACCAAAGCUGGGCCCUCUUCCCUUCUGAUGACAUCAGCAGGAGGCGACCUAUAAAGUCGAGGGGAAGCUGGGAUUCAGGAGCUCGCUUAGACGAUGCUCUCUUUGAUCGUUAUUCUGUCCUGUAACUGACCUAUGCCUGUUCUGACUCUGAGUUUGCCCCAUCCCGUUUUGACCAUAUUAACUCACUGUAUUAUACGUGUAAAAUAUAUGUACAUAUUUGUUGCUUUGUUCACCGUUAUUAGGGGUGUGGAUGCCAUUUCUGUUGGGUGUGUGUUUGUUUCCUGUUUUUGGUGAGGGAGUAAGGGAAGUGUUUUCUAUGUCUUUUGGGUUUUGUGUGUAGGUAAGUAGUGUUUGUUAAAAGAGUGUUUUUGUUUAUUAUUUUGGCCUUGGUCCACCCUGAAGUCUAUCCUGGUGUUGUACUGUACAUACUACAAUAUACCUUUUGUUUUACGACA